rnacentral:rRNA from 1 species
GACGAACGCUGGCGGCGUGCUUAACACAUGCCAGUCGAACGGAAAGGCCCUGCUUUUGUGGGGUGCUCGAGUGGCGAACGGGUGAGUAACACGUGAGUAACCUGCCCUUGACUUUGGGAUAACUUCAGGAAACUGGGGCUAAUACCGGAUAGGAGCUCCUGCUGCAUGGUGGGGGUUGGAAAGUUUCGGCGGUUGGGGAUGGACUCGCGGCUUAUCAGCUUGUUGGUGGGGUAGUGGCUUACCAAGGCUUUGACGGGUAGCCGGCCUGAGAGGGUGACCGGCCACAUUGGGACUGAGAUACGGCCCAGACUCCUACGGGAGGCAGCAGUGGGGAAGAUUGCACAAUGGGCGGCAGCCUGAUGCAGAAACGCCGCGUGCGGGAUGACGGCCUUCGGGUUGUAAACCGCUUUCGCCUGUGACGAAGCGUGAGUGACGGUAAUGGGUAAAGAAGCACCGGCUAACUACGUG